GUGCCAGCAGCCGCGGUAAUACGUAGGKGGCAGCGUUGUCCGGAAUUAUUGGGCGUAAAGCGCGCGCAGGCGGUUUCUUAAGUCUGAUGUGAAAGCCCCCGGCUCAACCGGGGAGGGUCAUUGGAAACUGGGGAACUUGAGUGCAGAAGAGGAGAGUGGAAUUCCACGUGUAGCGGUGAAAUGCGUAGAGAUGUGGAGGAACACCAGUGGCGAAGGCGACUCUCUGGUCUGUAACUGACGCUGAGGCGCGAAAGCGUGGGGAGCGAACAGGAUUAGAUACCCUGGUAGUCCACGCCGUAAACGAUGAGUGCUAAGUGUUAGAGGGUUUCCGCCCUUUAGUGCUGCAGCAAACGCAUUAAGCACUCCGCCUGGGGAGUACGGCGAAGMMUGAAACUCAAAGGAAUUGACGG
rnacentral:rRNA from 1 species